rnacentral:rRNA from 1 species
GAUGAACGCUGGCGGCGUGCUUAACACAUGCAAGUCGAACGGAAAGGCCCAAGCUUGCUUGGGUCCUCGAGUGGCGAACGGGUGAGUAACACGUGGGUGAUCUGCCCUGCACUUCGGGAUAAGCCUGGGAAACUGGGUCUAAUACCGGAUAGGACGAUGGGUUGGAUGCCAUUGUGGAAAGUUUUUUCGGUGUGGGAUGAGCUCGCGGCCUAUCAGCUUGUUGGUGGGGUAAUGGCCUACCAAGGCGUCGACGGGUAGCCGGCCUGAGAGGGUGUACGGCCACAGUGGGAAGGAGAUACGGCCCAGACUCCGACGGGAGGCAGCAGGGGGGAAUAUUGCACAAUGGGCGCAAGCCUGAUGCAGCGACGCCGCGUGGGGGAUGACGGCCUUCGGGUUGUAAACUCCUUUCGCUAGGGACGAAGCGUGUUUGUGACGGUACCUGGAGAAGAAGCACCGGCUAACUACGUG